rnacentral:tRNA from 1 species
UGGGGGAUCGUCUAGUGGUAGGACAGCUGACUCUGGAUCAGUAAGCGGGGGUUCGAAUCCUCCUCCCCCAGCCA